rnacentral:rRNA from 1 species
CACGUAGUUGGCCGGGGCUUCUUCUACUCCUACCGUCACUUGCGCUUCGUCGGGGCUGAAAGAGGUUUACAACCCGAAGGCCGUCAUCCCUCACGCGGCGUCGCUGCAUCAGGCUUGCGCCCAUUGUGCAAUAUUCCCCA